UGGUUUCUAAUUGAUAAACAUGAUGUUGAUUUGCCUCUUCUUGUUUUCUGAGUUCUUCUACGGUUCUUGUAGUUAGAAGGAUGUUUGGACUUCUGGGGACUACAUGUCGUUGUUGUGGACAGCUUGGCAGCGAGAGUGGGACUCGCGCCUUCUUACCCUUUUUAAUGAAAUAAAUAAGACAACUCAAUUUGCUGGUUGGAACAAGGAUUGUAAUGUAAUGUUUCUUUUCUUUUUGAUCGUAAAAUAUUACAGUGCAUAAAUCAUACAGAUUAAUAACAGAUAACAUUAUCAAUUGACAAUAACAAAUAUAUUUCUAUUUCAAAUAUUGCUCGAAUUAAACUUAUUAUAUUUAUUGAAUUAUUUCCUUUUAAUUUGCAAUUAAUUUAUUUUAUUAAAUUACUUAAAUUAACAUUAUAUAACUUACCUUUUUAAUGAAAUAAAUAAGACAACUCAAUUUGCUGGUUGGAACAAGGAUUGUAAUGUAAUGUACGGGCAGUAGACUUAUAUUUGCUUUUAUAGUCACUACUCAUUACCCGACAUUCUUGUUCCCCAGACAAGAUUGAGCGUCUUUUGUAAACGAUGGAAUGUGCUGCCAAAACUUAUAUUGCUUCAUAAUAUGCAAAUUGUAUUUAUUAGUUUUUUGAAAAGCAUUUGGACUUUUAUUUCUUAAACUAAAUAAAAUAACAUUUUUGGAAGAAUUUCAAUUUCUGAUCUUUAUAAUAAUUGAUAAUUAAAGAUUUGUUAAAUUUUAAUUAAUAUCUUGUGUACGUCAAUCUUCGUUUCUUAACUUUUUGAUUGGUUAUUUAUACAAUCUUGUGUGCCUAAAUGUAUUACUGAAUAUUCAUGAUGCUGUAGUAUCUACACAUUCUGUGAAUAUGGUUAUAACCUUGGAUGCAAAAUCAAUUCGACAUACAUCUGUCCGUCGACCUAACUACCUUCUAAACGCGUGCCAAAUAAUUAAUGAGGUUCUUGACUUGUACUAUUUAUGCUUAUCAUGCAUCUAAGAUAAUGCUUGUUAUUCGCUAUUUUCUUUAUGUGUUUUCUUCUUAUUUUAUUUUCCUAUAUCAACGAAUUAUUUGACAUUUAUAUUAACUUUUACUUGUAACUAUCUUAAUAACCUAUAAACAUAUAUUUUUGUUUAGAUAAGAUCUAUUUUAUUUCAAUUUCUAAUUAUUUCUAAAAGUGUCCUAAAUCCUUUCAUAACA
rnacentral:lncRNA from 1 species